AUCNUCCGCAAUGGCCGAAAGUCUGUCGGAGNAACGCCGCGUGAGUGAUGAAGGUUUUCGGGUCGUAAAACUCUGUUGUUAGGGAAGAACAAGUACCGUUCGAAUAGGGCGGUACCUUGACGGUACCUAACCAGAAAGCCACGGCUAACUCCGUUCCAGCAGCCGCGGUAAUACGUAGGUGGCAAGCGUUGUCCGGAAUUAUUGGGCGUAAAGCGCGCGCGGGCGGUUUCUUAAGUCUGAUGUGAAAGCCCCCGGCUCAACCGGGGAGGGUCAUUGGAAACUGGGGAACUUGAGUGCAGAAGAGGAGAGUGGAAUUCCACGUGUAGCGGUGAAAUGCGUAGAGAUGUGGAGGAACACCAGUGGUGAAGGCGACUCUCUGGUCUGUAACUGACGCUGAGGCGCGAAAGCGUGGGGAGCGAACAG
rnacentral:rRNA from 1 species